UACGUAGGGUGCAAGCGUUAAUCGGAAUUACUGGGCGUAAAGCGUGCGCAGGCGGUUUUUUAAGCCAGAUGUGAAAUCCCCGGGCUUAACCUGGGAAUGGCAUUUGGGACUGCAAGGCUUGAGUUUGGCAGAGGAGACUGGAAUUCCUGGUGUAGCAGUGAAAUGCGUAGAUAUCAGGAGGAAUACCGAUGGCGAAGGCAGGUCUCUGGGCUAGAACUGACGCUCAUGCACGAAAGCGUGGGGAGCAAACAGG
rnacentral:rRNA from 1 species